CAACGACAAUAGCAAAUGGAAAGUUUUAAGCAUAAAGCUGAAACUACAAAGCUGUGGCCACAAGGGACUCCAUGUACAACAACAACAGCAUGACAGGAAGAAGGGAGAAUGUAGCAUCAUUUAACAGAAACAGAGCAAGAUUAAGGGUUUACAUAACAAAAAGACGAUGCAGGUAGCGAUGGCAAUCUUCUCUUACCUUAGCGGCCAUGACCAUGGCAGAGCCCCCCCUGAUGCCCAGGAUGGGGAUGUGCGUCUGAGCAGAGAUGAAGU